GAUGAACGCUAGCGGCGUGCCUAAUACAUGCAAGUCGAGCGGCAGCAUAGGGUCGCAAUACUUGGGUGGCGAGCGGCAAACGGGACAGGAACACAUCCACAACCUUCGUUGUGGUGAGGGAUAGCCAAGGGAAACUUGGAUGAAUACCCCAUAAUGCAUUGGGUCUCCAUGGGCUUGAUGUUAAAGAGUUAUUGCCGGAAGCUGGGUGUGCGUAUGAUUAGCUAGUUGGUGAGGUAACGGCUCACCAAGGCGACGAGCAUUAACUGGUGUGAGAGCACGACCAGUCACACGGGAACUGAGACACGGGCCCGACUCCUACGGGAGGCAGCAGUAAGGAAUAUUGGGCAAUGGACGGAAGUCUGAACCAGCCAUGCCGCGUGGAGGAUGAAGGUCCUCUGGAUUGGAAGCUUCUUUUAUCAGGGGCCAAAAAAGGGAAUGCUUUCGCGUCUGACGGUACCGGAUGAAUAAGCACCGGCUAACUCCGUGCCAGCAGCCGCCGUAAAAC
rnacentral:rRNA from 1 species